rnacentral:rRNA from 1 species
GCGACCCCAGGAUGGGCGAGGUCACCCGCUGAGUUUAAGCAUAUCAAUAAGCGGAGGAGAAGAAACUUACGAGGAUUCCCCUAGUAACGGCGAGCGAACUGGGAUUGGCCCAGCGUUGGAAUCGUGCUGCCAUGCAGCAGCUCGAAUUGUAGUCUGGAGAAGCGUCCUCAGCGACGGAACGGGCCCAAGUCUCCUGGAAAGGGGCGCCGGGGAGGGUGAGAGCCCCGUUCGGCCCGAACCCUGUCGCACACGAGGCGCUGUCGGCGA